CAGUAGCCGCGGUAAUACGAAGGGUGCAAGCGUUACUCGGAAUUACUGGGCGUAAAGCGUGCGUAGGUGGUGGUUUAAGUCCGUUGUGAAAGCCCUGGGCUCAACCUGGGAAUUGCAGUGGAUACUGGGUCACUAGAGUGUGGUAGAGGAUAGCGGAAUUUCCGGUGUAGCAGUGAAAUGCGUAGAGAUCGGAAGGAACAUCUGUGGCGAAGGCGACUAUCUGGGCCAACACUGACACUGAGGCACGAAAGCGUGGGGAGCAAACAGGAUUAGAUACCCCGGUAGUCCCUGUCUCUUAUAC
rnacentral:rRNA from 1 species